rnacentral:lncRNA from 1 species
UUUUACAGAUGACUGGAUGAGCACUUCUAUUGGAAUAGCUUUCACUCCAUACGUCUUAGACAUUGGAGUUGUAAAGGUAUAUUUUUAAAUUGCAUUUUAUUAAUCAUCUACAAUGUCUUUAAGUUUCUUUGUCGUUUUGGCUUUCGAUUGUUUGUAGCCAUUUAUCUGCACAAAGGUAAUUGUAAUUGUAGGCAUUCACACCCUUUUUAUGCUUCUUCUCACUUAUAAUUAUUGAAUUAAUUGGAGUUUUUCUAUUGGAGCUUUAUAUAUGCUCUUUUAGUUUUUUGUGUCUUGUAGAUAUUGGAAUUAAGGAACCAGUAAAAGGUAUUGAUAUUAUUCAUGAAGCGACACCAUAGGAAAGGUAACAGAAUGAAUUUUUUGUUAAUUGGAUGUUGAUGUGAUUAUGGUGUGUAUAACAAAACUUUAGUUUAUUGAUCGAACUUUUUUCAAUCAAGAAUGUUUGUUUAUGGAAUUUACACUAAUAUUGUUUUUAUAUGGAAUGAUAUUGGGAAGGGAUCCACUUGCACUUUUACGGUAUCAAUUCUACAUAAUAGUGGCUUCAUACUAGACGUUUUACAUCUCCCCAUCUGUUGAUGCUCAAGAAAGAUUUCGAUUCAAUGGGUAAGUGUUUACCAUUUUGAGGAGGAUGGAAGUACUUAUCUCUUAACAUGUUUAGCAGAGUGUAAAACAUUUUAUAAGCUCUCUCUUACACUUUUUAAACUCUCUCUUUCUGGUGGUGUAGGAAUCGACUUAAGGCAUGUCAAUGGUUUUUCUCUUCAUAAUUAUUUAUUUUUAAAUGUCAAUUCUUGCGAAGGCUUCAACAUGAUUUCGUUUGCUCGCAACUCUACUAUAUGACUAGAUUGCUAAUGGCCAUACUAAGGUAUUGGCAAUAGAGGAUUUAUAACAGAAUAUUUCAACAAAGUAAUAGGGAUUAGAUAUUUUGAGUUCAAUUUAUUGGUUCUUUUUCUUUAUUAGAAGAGCUUGACUUGCACGGUGGACUUGUUAGGGCUGGACAAAACUUUUAAACCGAAUCGAAUUGAAAUGAAUCGAGCGAUUCUUCUUAAAUUAAAUAUCCAAAUGAAUAUCUGAAUCGAGAAUCAACGGGUUUUAUCCAGUUCUCGAUUCUAGACCAAGAAUUAAAUAAUCGAAUAAGAAUCUAAUAUCCCUUUUUUUUAAGUCUCAAAGUAAGGUUCCGACUUAUGUAAUUUAGUAUUUUCAUUUUUUUAAGGUAUUAAUUUUAGUGUUGGAGUCAAUUGAAAGUGAAACAUGCGUUUCUGAUUAUUAUGAUAAUAAUGUUAUUGACUAGAGCUAUGACGAGGUUCCGUUACUUCUCAUUUCUCUUGGUUCAAGAUUUUAGAGCUCGGCGUUGUACUAGGAAAAGAAGAAGAAGUUUUAAUGUCUGAAGAUUUCUACUUUUAAAAAUAUUAUGUUUAUGAAUGCAAUGAAUUUGCCUACGAGAAAUGACCACUUUCUUCACUAUACAAGGAUACAAUUUUCACUCUCUCCAUUUAUCACCUUUUAAGCGAAUGAUAUUGCACGAUCUUGUAGGUCUUUCAAUUCAAAGUUCAAUUGCUUAAUCUCCUCUGCUUCAUUAAGAAAUGGCAUUAUGCUUUUUACACUUGCAUAGAAAUUCUCAACCAAAAUGAAAUAGAUUGACGUAAUCCCUGGAUGCAGUGAUCUAUACUUAAAUGUCUUUCAUUGAUUGAUAUAUAAAAAAUGAAAUAUGUUUUUCAUUUGAGCACAAUAAUAUGCAUCAUAGUGGAACUACUUCCAAACGGGGUUUUUAUUUCGUUCCUUUCCCCCCUUGUGUAUAAUAGAGAUGUUUGGACUAACUUUUCUUUUACUCAUGUUACGGGUUCUUUUGGGGGAAAUGCUAGCUUCGCUAUUUCAAGGCAUUAUAAACCUUUUGAUGUGUUUCUAGAUGCAGAAGCUAAUAAGGCUAAUGGGAAGUACGAAAAUGCUUCCAUUGACUUUCAGAUUGAUUUCUAAAAAAAAUUGCACGACAACAUGCAAAGUAAUUUUUCAAACCAUGGGUUUCUAUUUUCUAUGCAAAUAGAAAAAGCCUCUAAAAUAACAGUGUUUGUGAAGCCUCAUAGGGUACAAAUAACCUAGAAAACAUGUCAAUCUUCGAAUUUAGCUUCAUCCAUG